UGCCAUGAUGUCGUAAUUUGCGUCUUACUCUGUGCUUGGCGACAGUUGCCUGCUGUCAUCUGGCCAAGGCAGAUGGUUGACGACUAGCUAACACUGAGCA